UACAGAGGUGGCGAGCGUUGUUCGGAUUUACUGGGCGUAAAGGGCGCGUAGGCGGUCCGCGUGUGUCGCGUUGUGAAAUCCCCGGGCUCAACCCGGGAAGUGCGCGCGAAACUGGCGGGGCUCGAGCGGAGGAGGGGAGAGCGGAAUUCAUGGUGUAGCGGUGAAAUGCGUUGAUAUCAUGAGGAACACCGGUGGCGAAGGCGGCUCUCUGGAAUCCUAGCUGACGCUGAGGCGCGAAAGUCGGGGGAGCAAACGAGGAUUAGAUACCCGGGUA
rnacentral:rRNA from 1 species